rnacentral:tRNA from 1 species
GGCGUGGUAGCUCAGCUGGUUAGAGCACAGCACUCAUAAUGCUGGGGUCGGCGGUUCAAGUCCGCCCCACGCCACCA